UAAGGAAUAUUGGUCAAUGGACGCAAGUCUGAACCAGCCAUGCCGCGUGGAGGAUGAAGGUCCUCUGGAUUGUAAACUUCUUUUAUCGGAUAAGAAACCCCGGAAUUCUUUCUGGGUUGACGGUACCCGAUGAAUAAGCACCGGCUAACUCCGUGCCAGCAGCCGCGGUAAUACGGAGGGUGCAAGCGUUAUCCGGAUUCACUGGGUUUAAAGGGUGCGUAGGUGGGUUGGUAAGUCAGUGGUGAGAUCUCCGGGCUUAACUCGGAAACUGCCGUUGAUACUAUCGAUCUUGAAUCUCGUGGAGGUAAGCGGAAUAUGUCAUGUAGCGGUGAAAUGCUUAGAUAUGACAUAGAACACCGAUAGCGAAGGCAGCUUGCUACACGAGUAUUGACACUGAGGCACGAAAGCGUGGGGAUCAAACAGGAUUAGAUACCCUGGUAGUCCACGCCCUAAACGAUGGAUACUCGACAUACGCGAUACACAGUGUG
rnacentral:rRNA from 1 species